AAAGUCGUAACAAGGUUUCCGUAGGUGAACCUGCGGAAGGAUCAUUCGAGGAGUGAGUGAGCGGUGAACAUGCGUAGCAUGUGAGCCGUGAGCGAGCGAACUUUAUUUUGUGCUUUCGACUGUCGCAAGACGUCAUCACCAUUAUCAUUUAUAUUUAUACAUCAUAUAAUAACAAAACUAUAAACAACGGAUCUCUAGGCUCUU
rnacentral:misc_RNA from 1 species